rnacentral:rRNA from 1 species
UAAUGAUGCUACAACCCAAUUGGGGGAUGGCUCGGCUCGAGAGCCGACGAAGGUCGUGACAAGCUGCGAUAAGUCGCGGGGAGAGGCAUGAAUCUCUUUGAUCCGCGAAUUGCCGAAUUGGACCUCCUGACAACAGUCAUUCCUCGUUUUAACAACGUAGGAAGGGGAACCCCCCGAACUGAAGCAUCUCAGUAGGGGGAGGAAAAGAAAUCAAUAGAAAUUCCGUGAGUAGUGGCGAAUGAAAACGGAAUAGGACAAACCGAAUCUCCUUGGGAAACCUUGGAGAGAUGUGGAGUAUGGACACUAGUAGCCUAAGUCCGGGAAGUAGAAGUCGUCCUGGAACGGCGCACCAUAGAGGGUGAAAGUCCCGUAUACGUGCCGGAUAUGGCCAUGUAGUGGAUCCUGAGUAGCGUGCGUUGGAUAUCGCGCGUGAAUAUGGGAGGCAGAGACUUCCAAUCCUAAAUACUACUCGAGACCGAUAGUUGACAAGUAGCGUGAGCGAAAGCUGAAAAGUAUCCUUAGCGGGAUGUGAAAAGAACCUGAAACCAAUUGGGAACAAGCUGAAUAGGCGUGAAAGCGAAGAUAUGAGCAGCGUCUAUUCGUGCGUUUCGAAAAAUGCCCCUGGGAGUUCUGAUCAUUGGCGAGGUUAAGCAGUAGAUCUGCGUAGCCGUAGGGAAACCGAAUAGUCCGCAGCCGCAAGGCGAGGGACUGGGUGUGCUCGCCCGGAGUCAAUGGUGGGAGACCUGAAGCCCGUCGAUCUAUGCCUGACCAGAUUGAAGCCCGACGAAAGUUGGGUGGAGGAUCAAACCGUUGCUGAUGUGCAAAUCGCUCGGAUGAGUUUGGUAUAGGGGUGAAAGUCCAAUCGAGAUGGGCAAUAGCAGGUUCCGCGCGAGACUACUCGUAGGUAGAUCUCUGUGAAGGUAGAAUGCGAUGUAGAGCACUGAUUGUAUGUUUAGGGGGAGCAAUCCCUCGGCACGCUGUCAAACUCCGAAGUUGUGUUCGCCGUAGAAGCAGGGAGUGAGCCACGGUGGGUAAGCUACCGUGACGAAAGGUGAAUAAACCAGCUCAGCGUUAAGGUCCCAAAAUUUCAGUUAAGUGUUAAUCACAAACGGCGUCCGUGGCCGAAGACAACCAGAAGGUGGGCUUAGAAGCAGCCAUCCUUGAAAGAGUUCGUAACAGAUCACUGGUCAAGCUUGCGGGCCCGUAAAAUGGACGGGGCUCAAACUGAAUACCGAUACGCUGACCCUCCGCAAGGAGAUGGGGUAGCGCGGCGAUGUGCUCGGGUAGAAGCGAGGUCGUAAGGUCUCGUGGACCGUGUACAUAUGAGAAUCCAGGGAAGAGUAGCAGCAUAGUGUGGUGAGAAUCCGCACCACCGAAGGGGUAAGGGUUCCUCGGCAAUGUUUUUCAGCCGAGGGUUAGCCGGUCCUAAGGGCAUUCUUAACCGAAAUGUCCGAAUGGGAAAUGCGUUAAUAUUCGUAUGCCCCUCUACAAAAUAUGGUGACGGCUCGGGCUAGUUCGUGCAUUCCUGUCAUGGGAUGUCGAAGCGUUCGAUAACCGAUCGGAGAACCGUCAUGGUGAGAAGAUCGGGAAGGCGUGAGCAAAAGACGAAUGAUGCCUGGGUCCCAUGAAAAGCCGUAGAGGUGACCGUACCUAGAACUGACACAGGUACCCAAGGUGAGUAGCCUAAGGUGUGACGGGCAAAGUACCGCGAAGGAACUCGGCAAAAUCGCUCUGUAACUUCGGGAGAAGGAGUGCCAGCUUAGAGAUAAGCUGGUCGCAGUGACCAGAGGACUCCGACUGUUUAAUAAAAACAUAGGCGACUGCUAGAUCGAAAGGUUGUGUAUAGUCGCUGAAUCCUGCUCAGUGCUGGUAUCUGAAAUCGGGUUACAACCUGACGAAGGACCAGUAAACAGCGGGGGUAACUAUGACCCUCUUAAGGUAGCGUAAUACCUUGUCGCUUAAUUGGCGACUUGCAUGAAUGGUCCAACGAGGGCUCCACUGUCCCCGCGAUA